UAUACCGUGGAACUGCGAAUGGCUCAUUAAAUCAGUUAUCGUUUAUUUGAUAGUACCUUACUACUUGGAUAACCGUGGUAAUUCUAGAGCUAAUACAUGCUGAAAACCCCAACUUCGGGAGGGGUGUAUUUAUUAGAUAAAAAACCAACGCCCUUCGGGGCUUCUUGGUGAUUCAUGAUAACUUCACGGAUCGCAUGGCCUUGCGCCGGCGACGGUUCAUUCAAAUUUCUGCCCUAUCAACUUUCGAUGGUAAGGUAUUGGCUUACCAUGGUUUCAACGGGUAACGGGGAAUUAGGGUUCGAUUCCGGAGAGGGAGCCUGAGAAACGGCUACCACAUCCAAGGAAGGCAGCAGGCGCGCAAAUUACCCAAUCCCGACACGGGGAGGUAGUGACAAUAAAUACUGAUACAGGGCUCUUUUGGGUCUAGUAAUUGGAAUGAGUACAAUUUAAACCUCUUAACGAGGAACAAUUGGAGGGCAAGUCUGGUGCCAGCAGCCGCGGUAAUUCCAGCUCCAAUAGCGUAUAUAAAGUUGUUGCAGUUAAAAAGCUCGUAGUUGAAACUUGGGCCUGGCUGGCAGGUCCGCCUCACCGCGUGUACUUGUCCGGCCGGGCCUUUCCUUCUGGAGAACCUCAUGCCCUUCACUGGGUGUGUUGGGGAACCAGGACUUUUACUUUGAAAAAAUUAGAGUGUUCAAAGCAGGCCUUUGCUCGAAUACGUUAGCAUGGAAUAAUAGAAUAGGACGUGCGGUCCUAUUUUGUUGGUUUCUAGGACCGCCGUAAUGAUUAAUAGGGACAGUCGGGGGCAUCAGUAUUCAAUUGUCAGAGGUGAAAUUCUUGGAUUUAUUGAAGACUAACUACUGCGAAAGCAUUUGCCAAGGAUGUUUUCAUUAAUCAGUGAACGAAAGUUAGGGGAUCGAAGACGAUCAGAUACCGUCGUAGUCUUAACCGUAAACUAUGCCGACUAGGGAUCGGGCGAUGUUCUUUUUCUGACUCGCUCGGCACCUUACGAGAAAUCAAAGUU
rnacentral:rRNA from 1 species